UACGUAGGUGGCAAGCGUUAUCCGGAAUUAUUGGGCGUAAAGGGUGCGUAGGCGGUUUGGUAAGUCUCUUGUGAAAUCUAUGGGCUCAACUCAUAGUCUGCAAGGGAAACUGCCGGGCUUGAGUGUGGGAGAGGUGAGUGGAAUUUCCGGUGUAGCGGUGAAAUGCGUAGAUAUCGGAAGGAACACCUGUGGCGAAAGCGGCUCACUGGACCACAACUGACGCUGAUGCACGAAAGCUAGGGGAGCAAACAGG
rnacentral:rRNA from 1 species